rnacentral:lncRNA from 1 species
AUAACACUGCACUUGAACAGUGACAUUAAUACCUAACCUGCUGGCAGCGUGGGCUUUGUUAUGAAUGCUUUACCCAGAUGGCACAGACAAUAAGCUGAACUUGUCCUCUGAUGGCUUUCCCUCCCCAGAUGGCUGCAGAGUGUCAUUCUCCUUCCCUAAAUGUUAAUCUCGCUGGAGCAAAGGCCAAAUAAUCAGCAUAAAAUCUCAGUGAAUGAAAGAUCUGUUUGAGGUGGAACAGAAAUUUCUAAGCAACACUGAAGCUUUAUUGAGGAAAUUUCUACCAGAAAUAAACUGUGGUUUGCACGCUGCUUGUGAUCAUUUACUGAAAGUUUGUAUUGCAGCAGGUGGCAAAACACAGCAUGUGAUAUGGUUCUCAUCUUCUCUCAGAAUGGAUUAUGAGUAGCCAGCAAAUGUGAAAGUUUAGAUUUGAAGAUAAAAGCUAUAAUCUGAAAUUCAGAGGUGUAAGUUAGGUAAAGGAUUACUUAUGUUUGGUAAUAUGAGUAUUAACAUAAUGGUUCUUCUAAGUAUUUUUUCUAAGCAAUUGCACAAUGAAAGUUUAAGUAAUAAGACGAGCAUGAGUAAGUGCAAUGAGUUGGUCUACUAAGCUAAACCGCAUCUCAAUCAGAGUCCUACAAGUAAAUGAAAAGAAAGGAGAAAUUGGUUUUCUCAGACAUAAAGUGGAAAGAAAGGAAAAUGGAAGAAUCAUAUGAUUUUUCUGGAAUAUAUGUAUACUCACACUUUUUUUUAUAGAAGUUGUUUUUAAAGGAAAUACAGGGCAAUUUGGGUUGUUCUGCCUCUCCAAAGUACUAUUGUGAAAAGUAACUUAGGCUUUGCACUGGAUUUAUGCUGUGUUAGAUUCAGCAAUUUUAUGCAGUAAUAACAACUUUCCCUGUCAUUGUAUUUCAGUAGUAUGCUACACAUCCAAGCAUUAUAUUACUUGUUCUGUCUAUUACUUAUGUUACUUGUUCUGUCAAUCCACUAAGCCAGUUUUUCAAAGAUAAACUUCUUUCAAAAGAAAUCUGGAUAAUCUUGUCUGUUUGUCAUCUAUGAGAAGUGAGUAAAUGCUAUGUUCAAAUUAGAAGCAAUUACAUUCUCUAUUUCUGUCUUUACCCUUGAUUAUAGUCAUUGCCAGUCCUGGGAUUUCAAAUAUUUUUUUAGACUGCCUCCACACUAGUGUUUCCACUGUCUCUGUAAUUUGGCCUUUUCACAAGUUACAUAGAACAAAUAAAUUCUGCCUUGCUGCGCA